GCCUGGGUGGCUCAGUGGUUGAGCGUCUGACUUUGGCUCAGGGCAUUAUCCCGCGGUCCUGGGAUCGAGUCCCGCAUUGGGCU
rnacentral:tRNA from 1 species